rnacentral:rRNA from 1 species
AUUGAACGCUGGCGGCAGGCCUAACACAUGCAAGUCGAGCGGAUGAGUGGAGCUUGCUCCAUGAUUCAGCGGCGGACGGGUGAGUAAUGCCUAGGAAUCUGCCUGGUAGUGGGGGACAACGUUUCGAAAGGAACGCUAAUACCGCAUACGUCCUACGGGAGAAAGUGGGGGAUCUUCGGACCUCACGCUAUCAGAUGAGCCUAGGUCGGAUUAGCUAGUUGGUGAGGGAAAGGCUCACCAAGGCGACGAUCCGUAACUGGGCUGAGAGGAUGAUGAGUCACACUGGAACUGAGACACGGUCCAGACGCCUACGGGAGGCAGCAGUGGGGAAUAGUGGACAAUGGGCGAAAGCCUGAUCCAGCCAUGCCGCGUGUGUGAAGAAGGUCUUCGGAUUGUAAAGCACUUUAAGUUGGGAGGAAGGGCAGUAAGUUAAUACCUUGCUGUUUUGACGUUACCAACAGAAUAAGCACCGGCUAACUUCGUGCCAGCCGCCGCGGUAACAC